rnacentral:rRNA from 1 species
AUUGAACGCUGGCGGCAUGCUUUACACAUGCAAGUCGAACGGUAACAGGGUGCUUGCACCGCUGACGAGUGGCGAACGGGUGAGUAAUGCGUCGGAACGUGCCGAGUAGUGGGGGAUAACGCAGCGAAAGUUGUGCUAAUACCGCAUACGUACUGAGGUAGAAAGUGGGGGACCUUCGGGCCUCACGCUAUUCGAGCGGCUGACGUCUGAUUAGCUAGUAGGUGAGGUAAAGGCUCACCUAGGCGACGAUCAGUAGCGGGUCUGAGAGGAUGAUCCGCCACACUGGGACUGAGACACGGCCCAGACUCCUACGGGAGGCAGCAGUGGGGAAUUUUGGACAAUGGGCGAAAGCCUGAUCCAGCCAUGCCGCGUGUCUGAAGAAGGCCUUCGGGUUGUAAAGGACUUUUGUCAGGGAGGAAAUCCCUAGUGCUAAUAACACUGGGGGAUGACAGUACCUGAAGAAUAAGCACGGGCUAACUACGUGCCAGCAGCCGCAGUAA